GGAUAUGAGGGCGAUCUAGCUGCGACACUUGUCACCCUAUUGAUCACCAGGGUUGAUUCGGCUGAUCUGGCUGGCUAGGCAGGUGUCCCCUUCCUCCCUCACCGUUCCAUGUGCAUCCCUCCCGAAGCUGUGCGCUCGGUCGAAGAGGACGACCAUCCCCGCUAGAGGAGGACUGGUCUUCAGUCAAGGGUAUAUGAGUAGCUGCUCUCCCCUGCUAGAACCUCCAAACAAGCUCUCAAGAACACAUUGUCAUGCUAUUAUUUUUAACUAUAUAAGAAAAUUCAGUGGUAAAUUUUUUUACUUAGGAAUAUUUUUAAAGU
rnacentral:snRNA from 1 species